rnacentral:rRNA from 1 species
GACGAACGCUGGCGGCGUGCCUAAUACAUGCAAGUAGAACGCUGAAGGAGGAGCUUGCUCUUCUGGAUGAGUUGCGAACGGGUGAGUAACGCGUAGGUAACCUGCCUGGUAGCGGGGGAUAACUAUUGGAAACGAUAGCUAAUACCGCAUAAGAGUAGAUGUUGCAUGACAUUUGCUUGAAAGGUGCAAUUGCAUCACUACCAGAUGGACCUGCGUUGUAUUAGCUAGUUGUUGGGGUAACGGCUCACCAAGGCGACGAUACAUAGCCGACCGGAGAGGGUGAUAGGCCACACUGGACUGAGACACGGCCCAGACUCAUUCGGGAGGCAGCCGUAGGGAAUCUUCGGGCAUGGACGGAAGUCUGAGCGAGCAACGCCGCGUGAGUGAAGAAGGUUGUCGGAUCGUAAAGCUCUGUUGUAAGAGAAGAACGAGUGUGAGAGUGGAAAGUUCACACUGUGACGGUAUCUUAUCAGAAAGGGACGGCUAACUACGUG